ACGUAGGGUGCAAGCGUUGUCCGGAAUUACUGGGUGUAAAGGGAGCGCAGGCGGGAAGACAAGUUGGAAGUGAAAACCAUGGGCUCAACCCAUGAAUUGCUUUCAAAACUGUUUUUCUUGAGUAGUGCAGAGGUAGAUGGAAUUCCCGGUGUAGCGGUGGAAUGCGUAGAUAUCGGGAGGAACACCAGUGGCGAAGGCGGUCUACUGGGCAUCAACUGACGCUGAGGCUCGAAAGCAUGGGUAGCAAACAG
rnacentral:rRNA from 1 species